rnacentral:rRNA from 1 species
AUGUACUACGAAUCAGAGGGCACGGACGAGUGCGACGGCGACGACGGCGAAGUUGAGGUAGAGCGGCGCCCAGAGCAGGACGUCGUGGACGAUGAACUCGGCCUUGUAGGCGUGCACGCGCCCAGGGCAGCCGCCGACGGCCGCAGCGGCGAAGGCACGGAAGAGCUGGAAGUAGGCGAAGACGCUGACGGAUUGCAUGCUGACAGCCAAGGGCAGGGCGGCGCGCAGCCCCCUGGUCAUCGGAAAGAAGGCGGCUGCCGUGCCCGCCGCCGCCGCCUGGGCGCCGGAGGAGAGGGCUAA